AACGAACGCUGGCGGCAGGCUUAACACAUGCAAGUCGAACGCCCCGCAAGGGGAGUGGCGCACGGGUGAGUAACGCGUGGGAAUGUACUGUUUAGUGGGGGAUAACUUUGGGAAACUAAAGCUAAUACCGCAUACGCCCUAAGGGGGAAAGAUUUAUCGCUAAACAAUCAGCCCGCGUGAGAUUAGGUAGUUGGUGGGGUAAUGGCCUACCAAGCCUACGAUCUCUAGCUGGUCUGAGAGGGUGAUCAGCCACACUGGAACUGAGACACGGUCCAGACUCCUACGGGAGGCAGCAGUGGGGAAUAUUGGACAAUGGGCGAAAGCCUGAUCCAGCCAUGCCGCGUGAGUGAUGAAGGCUUUAGGGUUGUAAAGCUCUUUCGCCGAUGAAGAUAAUGACGGUAGUCGGAGAAGAAGCCCCGGCUAACUUCGUGCCAGCAGCCGCCGUAA
rnacentral:rRNA from 1 species